rnacentral:rRNA from 1 species
UUUCGCAAUGCCCGAAAGGGUGACGAAGCGACGCCGCGUGCGGGAAGAAGGCCCUCGGGUUGUAAAGCCCUGUCAGGAGUUAAGAAAUGUAGAUUCGCUAAUAUCGGGUCUAUUUGACGAAGGCUCCAAAGGAAGCCACGGCUAACUCUGUGCCAGCAGCCGCGGUAAUACAGAGGUGGCAAGCGUUGUUCGGAAUUAUUGGGCGUAAAGAGCACGUAGGUGGAUUUGUAAGUCAGAUGUGAAAGCCUUCUGUUCAACGGGAGAAUUGCAUCUGAAACUACAGACCUUGAGUAUAGGAGGGGAGAAUGGAACUUCUGGUGGAGCGGUGAAAUGCGUAGAUAUCAGAAGGAACGCCGGCGGCGAAAGCGAUUCUCUGGCCUAUUACUGACACUCAGUGUGCGAAAGCUAGGGGAGCAAACGGGAUUAGAUACCCCGGUAGUCCUAGCCGUAAACGAUGGGCACUAAGUAGAGGGGUUUUA